GACGAACGCUGGCGGCGUGCCUAAUACAUGCAAGUCGAGCGGACGGAUGGGAGCUUGCUCCCAGACCGUCAGCGGCGGACGGGUUAGUAACACGUGGGCAACCUGCCUGUAAGACUGGGAUAACUCCGGGAAACCGGGGCUAAUACCGGAUAACUCUUUCCCUCACCUGAGGGCAAGCUGAAAGAUGGCAUCUCGCUAUCACUUACAGAUGGGCCCGCGGCGCAUUAGCUAGUUGGUGAGGUAACGGCUCACCAAGGCGACGAUGCGUAGCCGACCUGAGAGGGUGAUCGGCCACACUGGGACUGAGACACGGCCCAGACUCCUACGGGAGGCAGCAGUAGGGAAUCUUCCGCAAUGGACGAAAGUCUGACGGAGCAACGCCGCGUGAGUGAUGAAGGUUUUCGGAUCGUAAAACUCUGUUGUCAGGGAAGAACAAGUACCGGAGUAACUGCCGGUACCUUGACGGUACCUGACCAGAAAGCCACGGCUAACUACGUG
rnacentral:rRNA from 1 species